rnacentral:rRNA from 1 species
CCCAAGGAUGGGGCCGCGACCGAUCAGGUUGUUGGUGAGGUAAUGGCUCACCAAGCCUUUUACCGGUGCGGGCCGUGGGAGCGGGAGCCCGGAGAUGGGCACUGAGACAAGGGCCCAGGCCCUACGGGGCGCAGCAGUCGCGAAAACUUUGCAAUAAGCGAAAGCUUGACAGGGCUAUCCCGAGUGCCAUCCGCUGAGGAAGGCUUUUACCCAGUCUAGAACGCUGGGGGAAUAAGGAGAGGACAAGUCUGGUGUCAGCCGCCGCGGUAAUACCAGCUCUCCGAGUGGUGUGGAUGUUUAUUGGGCCUAAAGCAUCCGUAGCUGGCUAGGUUAGUCCCCUGUUAAAUCCACCGAAUUAAUCGUUGGAUUGCGGGGGAUACUGCUUGGCUAGGGGACGAGAGAGGCAGACGGUAUUUCCGGGGUAGGGGUGAAAUCCUAUAAUCCCGGGAGGACCACCAGUGGCGAAGGCUGUCUGCUAGAACGCGCCCGACGGUGAGGGAUGAAAGCUGGGGGAGCGAACCGGAUUAGAUACCCGGGUAGUCCCAGCUGUAAACGAU